rnacentral:lncRNA from 1 species
UUUGACAUCGGAUAUGUGAUAAACGGCCAAGUGACCGUCUUCCUGAAAUCUAAUAACAAAUAGAUUUGCAACCAAAAACACUAAUUUCUCCUUUUUUAUACUCAAACAAAAAGAAAUGUCAAAAAUAAUAAUAAGAAGAAGAUACAAGAGAACCAAAAAGAAAACGUAAAGUAGCACAAGUAUUUGUUUCCAUGCUAAAGAAGCGGAGCGGGAGAUCUUUUGUUCAAUCUGAAAUCUGAUACUGAGCCUUUGGUUUCUAUACUUUUAUACUCUUCACCAAAAUUGCCUAUACAAAGAUGAUUCUCGAAAUCAACCAAAUAACGCUGACUUUUGCUGCGAGUCGUUUGUCUUUUACGUGGUGAGUGUCUUUUCGCUGUUUGAAAGAAAGAAAAACUCGAUUGCGUCCAUAAUGCCUUGAGCAAAGUCAGAGUUUCCAACUGCAAGAAAGGUUCGAGGAAAUUAGUAAAACUAAAGUAAUUUAAAGAACUUAACCGAUGUGAUUGACGCUAAUACAUGCAAGGAAUAAAGUGUAUCUUAUGGGACAACACUUCAAAGAUUUCCAGACAGAAAGGUGUAAGCAAAUCUUAGACUCUUUAAGAUACAC